ensembl:lncRNA
GCUGCCUCCCCCAGUCUGGGCAAAGCUUCACGGGUACUUCACAGAUUCCAGCCCAUCUGUGCACCUGCUUUUAGACUCCUUUUAUGCUUACUACAGCGCUGAAGGCAGAGACCCCAAGAUUCAUGUGAGGCCCAAGCAAUACCAGCUAAGAUUGCCCCUCAAAGUCAGGGAAGCCUCAUGGACAGAGAAGCCUGACAGGCUACAGUUCAUGGGAUUCUCCAGGCAAGAAUAUUGGAGUGGAUUGCCAUUUCCUUCUCCAGGGGAUCUUUUCAACCCAGGAAUUGAACCUGGGUAUCCUGCAUUGUAGGCAGAUUCUUUACCAACUCAGCAACAAGAUGUGUGGAGACGUAGAGUCCCCCUCUCUGCCUAGCACAGCGCCUUGAUCAUGGUAACUACAACACUUGAUGGAAAAGCCAGAACAUUUCCUCACAAUUAAUGGUGACCCAGUGAGAGUCGCUGAUCCCCAGGAUUCCCAGCUGCUCUUCUGCAAGCAGCUGCUGGGUGAUAAAACUGAGAAAAAGAAGUUAAAAAUCUUGCCCAAAUUUGCACAGCUAACAAAUUGUUGAUAUUGGCUUGAACUUGAGUGGUCUGACCCCUGAGUCUGCACUCCUGACCACAAUUCUGGACUUCCUCCUACUUUGCCAACAUAGAAUAUAGAAAGAUCAUGUGAACAUUAUGUUGAAUUUCCCUCUCUGGCUCCACUUUUCAUCCUUUUCCAUCCAGCCUUGUAAAGUGGGAAGAUUAUGGAAUGGACUAUAUUAACAGGUUCCUUGAUCCUCCAGCUACUGGCUGGGUUUUGUCAACAGGGAAUGCUUUGCAGAAGACUGAAGGGAGGGAGAUGGUGAUGGCACAGGGUUUAUUUCUCUCCCUGCUGAGAGGCUAAGGGCUGUGUCAUUCUGAAGAAGGAUUCUGUUCCUUUCACGGGGGCUUCUAUGAGAUGCUUUCCUUCCAUUUUCCGGUAACCAUCUCAUCUCUUUGGGCCUAGGGAUGGCUAACAACUGUGCCAUCUUGUGAUUCUCCUAUCCAACCACAGUUAAAUUGCCCCUUUGUAAAUCAGCUCUCUCAAACAUCCCAUUUUAAGUGUCCUAGUUAGAAUCCAAACUGAUGCAAGGUGUGAUCUCUGUUUUUAAAAAGCUGACAUAGAGUACUUGGGGCAUAUACCUCAGGAACAGGAAAGCUGAAGACUGUAUAAAAAGAGAUCAUCUGUAGGAGUAAGGUUGAUGGUUACAAACUAAGGUGUUUUAAGUUGCAUAUUCCUGGCCACCUGCAUCUUAUUCUCCAUUCUUAUUUUCCUCUUUAGCUGUAGAGAUGUCUGUAAAGCAUGCUGCAUGGCGAUCAAGAUGCGCUCUGAAGUUUUGCAAUCUCCGUGUCAGAAGUAAUUAUAGCAAAGUAAUUCUCACACUGGUUUUCAGAGCAAUUUACAGAGCUUGUGACACGCAUGGACAUUGAAUCAUAGAGCAUUUUAUAGACAACUCUUUAUUUGGAACAGAUUCACGAG